CGAAAAAGGGUGGUUUGGUUUUACAAGUGGCAAGAGCAAUUGAUGUGCAAUAAUCUUAGAAUGCUGUAGCCUAUGCAUACAACCCUGUGCGUGUUUGUCAAAACAAACAACUUGCAGGUCGAUGACAGCAUGUACCCUGUUUGGAGGGAAAAAAUCUUUACGUGUGCCCGUCUGACCACUUCUAUUGGGUGACACAUAAGAGGAGCAGUUCGGGAAAAAGGUUCACUUGACGAGGAGGCUGACUUACGAGUAGGGACUACGGAAUCUCCAACGGCUCGCACAAAUAAAUUGGGCUGGAAAAUUGGCGACGACUUGAUUGAGAGCGCGUGCAUAGCCCAGCAGGAAGAGUUUAAUGGUGAUGUAAAAUAUAAGGGGUUGGAGGAAUAUGGCCCUGAUUCCCCUGCUAUCGGAGAGAGGCCUAAUGGAGAUGUCUGGGACUUUGCCUACUGCUAAACCAACAUGAGACUGUCCAGGAGUUGGCGGAUGCUUUAGUCCAGGUCUGGGAGGAGAUCCCUCAGGAGGUCAUCCGCCACCUCAUCAGGAGCAUGCCCAGGCAUUGUAGGGAGGUCAUACAGGCACGUGGAGGCCACACACACUACUGAGCCUCAUUUUGACUUGUUUUAAGGACAUUACAUCAAAGUUGGAUCAGCCUGUAGUGUGGUUUUCCACUUUAAUUUUGAGUGUGACUCCAAAUCCAGACCUCCAUGGGUUGAUAAAUUGGAUUUCCAUUGAUUCUUUUUGUGUGAUUUUGUUGUCAGCACAUUCAACUAUGUAAAGAAAAAAGUAUUUAAUAAGAUUAUUUCUUUCAUUCAGAUCUAGGAUGUGUUAUUUUAGUGUUCCCUUUAUUCUUUUGAGCAGUAUAUUAUUUAUAUUUGAGAUUCUUCAAAGUAGCCACCCUUUGCCUUGAUGACAGCUUUGCACACUCUUGGAAUUCUCUCAACCAGCUUCAUGAGGUAGUCCCCUGGAAUGCAUUUCAAUUAACAGGUGUGCUGUCUUAAAAGUGAAUUUGUGGAAUUUAUUUCCUUCUUAAUGCGUUUGAGCUAAUCAGUUGUGUUGUCACAAGGUAGGGGGGUAUACAGAAGAUAGCCCUAUUUGGUAUAAGAUGCCCAUAUUAUGGCAAGAACAGCUCAAAUAAGCAAAGAGAAACAAGAGUCCAUCAUUACUUUAAGACAUGAAGGCCAAUCAAUACGGAAAAUUUCAAGAACUUUGAAAGUUUCUUCAAGUGCAGUAGCCACAGGAAUGGAAGACCCAGAGUUACCUCUGAUGUAGAGGAUAAGUUCAUUAGAGUUACCAGUCGCAGAAAUUGCAGCCCAAAUAAAUGCUUCAGAGUUCAAGUAACAGACACAUCUAAACAUCAACUGUUCAGAGGAGACUGUGAAUCAGGCCUUCAUGGUCGAAUUGCUGCAAAGAAACCACUACUAAAGGACAUCAAUAAUAAGAAGAGAUUUGCUUGGGCCAAGAAACACGAGCAAUUGACAUUAGACCGGUGGAAAUUUGUCCUUUGGUCUGGAGUCCAAAUUGGAGAUUUUUUGUUCCAACUGCCGUGUCUUUGUGAGAUGCAGUGUGGGUGAACAGAUGAUCUCUGGAUGUGUAUUUCCCACCGUAAAGCAUGGAGGAGGAGGUGUUAUGGUGUGGGGUUGCUUUGCUGGUGACACUGUCUGUGAUUUAUUUAGAAUUCAAGGCACACUGAACCAGCAUGGUUACCACAGCAUUCUGCUGCAGCAAUACGUCAUCCCAUCUGGUUUGGGCUUAGUGGGACUAUCUGCUGCAUCAGAUGACCUGGCCUCCACAACCCCCCAACCAAAUUGAGAUGGUUUGGGAUGAGUCGGUCCACAGAAUGAAGGAAAAGCAGCCAACAAGUUCUUUUGACCGGUA
rnacentral:lncRNA from 1 species